rnacentral:rRNA from 1 species
UAAUACGUAGGUGGCAAGCGUUGUCCGGAUUUAUUGGGCGUAAAGCGCGCGCAGGCGGCUAUGUAAGUCUGAUGUUAAAGCCCGAGGCUCAACCUCGGUUCGCAUUGGAAACUGUGUAGCUUGAGUGCAGAAGAGGAAAGCGGUAUUCCACGUGUAGCGGUGAAAUGCGUAGAGAUGUGGAGGAACACCAGUGGCGAAGGCGGCUUUCUGGUCUGUAACUGACGCUGAGGCGCGAAAGCGUGGGGAGCAAACA